CACCGCGGUUAUACGAGAGGCCCGAGUUGAUAGUUCUCGGCGUAAAGGGUGGUUAAAUCAGAACUAAACUAAAGCCGAACCCCCUCAGAGCUGUUAUACGCACUCGAGGGUGAGAAGCUCCUGCACGAAAGUAGCUUUAAUAAUUUUGAACCCACGAAAGCUGUGAAA
rnacentral:rRNA from 1 species